AUAAUUAGUUUGAGUUUCAUCCAUUAUUUGUUGGUUUUCAAACAUGACAAGGACAUCAGUCUUAUUGAAAUGUUCUUUUUUCAAGUUUUAAUUUUCAACUGUGGUCGAAUGCAGUUUGUUUGCUCCGUCAUGACAAACACGUUUGCUGUUCUUUGACAUAUAUUGUUUUUUGUUAUUUCGGCAAUUUCAAUUUAUUGAAAAAAAUUUUCUGUUCAAAUUAUCUCUUUGUUAAUUUUUUUUUGACGAAAUAUUCAUAAAUCACGAAACAGUCUAGUUAACAAUGUUUGGGAAUUAUAUUUUUCCCACUCGGUUCACAAAAAGAUCCUUAUUUGUUUUAAUUAACUUACUAAUUGCAUUAGUUCUUAUUUAUCACCUUCAUUUCGACAAGGAACACCAGCUCAAAAAAUUUGCCAGUAAUUUUAAUUUCUUGUUAACACAUGCGAUAGGUGAUAUCAGUGAUUCAUGUAAUCGGCCAAUCGGAAUUAGCAAUUUUCCGAAUUUGAUUCGAAAAUUUAAUGUUCCAAGAAAAAAUUGCACACAUCUCCCGAGAAAAAUGUCAAAAAAAGACUAUGAUACCUUCAUGCGCCUGUUAAAUUUAUCGCUGUCAGUUUUGGAUGAAAAUGAAAUUCCUUACACAGUUAGCGCUGGCGGACUAGUGGGUUCAUAUGUCAUGCACGACAUGUUGCCAUGGGAUGACGAUAUGGAUAUCAUGAUAAAUUACGACUCAAAAGAAAAAGUGAUCAACCUGUUCAAGGACGACAGACACUACGGGAUCCAAGGACUUCAGAGUCGUCAGAUGAACGGGGAUCUCAUCAAGUUAUUCUUUACUAACUCCGUCAAAGCGGGGGGAAAACCUUGGAACUGGCCCUUCAUAGACGUUGAGUCAUAUAUCGAGGAGGAAAAUGAGAUCAAAUUAGUUCACAGGUCAGACCGGAAAGUAGCAUGGCCUCGUGACUCAUACUUUCCAACACAUCUCCGUCCUUUUGGACCCCUCUGGCUCAAGUUUCCACGAGACCCCAGUGGAUACCUACUCGCUCACUACAAAAACCCUUUUCACUGCAAAACAUCCACUUGGGCCCACAAAGAGGAAAGGCGAUAGA